rnacentral:lncRNA from 1 species
GGAAGAGGUGGAGAUCUUGCAGAAAGCCGAGACUUCCCCCGUGGCCCCUGUGCCGGUGCUGGCAGGAGCCAUGUUUGGAGCCAUACAUCAUCGAUGGAAGGUACCUAAUGAUAUAUUGCCCUAAUACAUCGCCAUGGCAACAGUGCUCUAAUAAUGUAUUAUUCUAAUGUGUGUUACCCAAGCGCACGUUCUUCCCCGUGAUGUAUGGCCGGGAUCUCUGUGUGCCGCCAAGCCCAGACGCGACAAAGCUCCCCUGACCGCCACGCGCUGUCCCCAGUGCCACCGCCGCAGGGGACACACCGUCCACCCCGGGGACGUCCUGGUGCCGGCACCAUCCUGCACAAGGGGGUUUGUGGGGUGUAUCGGGAAACAAUGAGGUGCUUGCUCCCACCUCCGUGGGUGUCCUCGGGAGCAUCGCAGGGCACGAGCGCCCUGCUGGGCUGCCACCAUCACCCCCCGGGGCAGAGGCACAGCGCGGUGCUGGUGUGGCUGCAACGCACGGCCCGAAACACAUUCCUCUCCUGGCAUUUGGAAAGUUCAGCAGGGGAAGUGACGGCUGGCUUGUGCAUUUCUCCAGCCCCUUCCAAGCUCCGUGACUAUAGAGCACCGAUUCAUGGCAUUGCCGGGGGACAUCUGUGCGGAGCGAGGCGCGGCGGCGAGCUGAAUGCGCCCUGUGUGGAGCCCGGAUUCCGCGGAGGAGCGGGGAAAGCCGGCGGACAGAAAGGCUGA